rnacentral:lncRNA from 1 species
CCCUUAAAAUUAUUCUGGCUUUGCUCCUGAUUCUGCUAAAUCGGCGGUUGACAUAUCAAGGUUCAUUCAAUGAUACAUGAAAGAAAUAGAAGGCGUCAAGGAAAAGGGGGUUAUCAGGAAGGUGAUCUAUGCAAAAUGGAAGCCCCCUUUGGGAAUAUGCAUCAAACUUAAUUUUGACGCAGCCUUUGAUAAGGAUUUUUUUCAAAUCUGGGACGGGGAUUGUAGCCAGAAAUGCGCAAGGGCAGGUGAUUGCAUCACGUUCAAUACUCCACUCAAACGUGGGCUCAGCAUUUGUAGCAGAAGCCCUCGCAUGUUCAUAGACAGUUAAAACGGGGUUAGAGUUGGGGGUUACAGAGGCAAUUAUCGAAGACGAUUCUCUAACGGUUAUCAAGAAAUGCAACAAUAUGUCCCAAGAUAAGUCUGAAAUACGAGCUCACAUCCAUAAUAUACAGUAUCACAGUAGCAGAUUUCUCUCCAUACAGUUUAAACAUGCAAAUCGUGAAGGUAAUCAACUCGCACACAGAUUAACAGGUUGAAAGUUUGAGAAAUGGAGAGGAGUUUUACCUGGAAGGAGCGGUCCCGGGAUUCGCAAGGAGAACGAUGGAGGACGAGUGGAUUCGUGAACCAGAUUGAAGGAACAAUAGGGAAGUGCUUCGAUCCCUAAGGAGCAGAAAGGAGAAAAAUCAUUUCUGUGAAAAUGCAAAUAUGGAAGGGAUGGGGAAGAGGUAAGUGAUUUUGUUUUGCAAUGAUGACAAUAGAUGGGACGGGUAGGAUUCCCGAGGAAUGGGCUGACUCAUGUUUAUUUUUUAAAUUCUAUUUUAUUUUCUUUUAAUGUUUUAAUUAUUUUGCUUUGGGCGGGUGAGUGCUAAGGCUCCUAGUGGAUUUUGAUGUAUACUUUGGUUUCA